UCAUUUAUUUACUGCUGCCAAUUUGUAUGCAUAUUCUUUCAUUAAAUGGGGUGAACUUCAACUUUAUUCUUAUCCGACAUAAAUUAAGAGUCAUUUUUAUUACAUUAUUUUUAGGGAGUAGAGUUGCAACUGGAAAAUGUUCAAGUUGUUGGUGUUUAUGGGUGGAGCAGUGAAUUUGUUAUUAUUUCAAUUGUGAGACCAUGCACGUGCUAAUCAAGAGCUAUCAUGGCAACCUUCAACAAUAGUUUUGGACAUGCACCUUCUUGCAGAAGAUAUCGUGUACGUGUUCUUGUGCUGCUAUUGUGGAUCCUUGCUUACUGGUUCAAUUGUAUGUAUCUCACGUGAAGCUUUUGUUAGAACUAUUAAUCUUAGGUAUUUCAAGUUUUUCAUAUUUCUUGUAUCUCGUUAGUUUGUAAAUUUCCGUUACAACUUUUAUUGAUUAGUUCUAUCUUUCCAUGGAACAACUAUUUGUAUGACAUUAAAUUUUAUGCAAUGAAUUGUAUUUUUGUA